UGAGGAAUAUUGGUCAAUGGGCGGAAGCCUGAACCAGCCAUGCCGCGUGCAGGACGACGGCCCUACGGGUUGUAAACUGCUUUUCCGGGGGAAGAAUAAGGGCGACGCGUCGCCCGAUGCCGGUACCCCGGGAAUAAGGAUCGGCUAACUCCGUGCCAGCAGCCGCGGUAAUACGGAGGAUCCGAGCGUUAUCCGGAUUUACUGGGUUUAAAGGGUGCGGAGGCGGGCCCCUCAGUCAGCGGUGACAGUCUGCGGCUCAACCGUAGGAUUGCGGUUGAUAGUGGGGGCCUUGGAUUCGGUCGAGGCGGGCGGAAUGCGUGGUGUAGCGGUGAAAUGCUUAGAUAUCACGCAGAACGCCGAUUGCGAAGGCAGCUCGCCGGGCCGAAAUCGACGCUGAGGCACGAAAGCGUGGGGAUCGAACA
rnacentral:rRNA from 1 species